CACAGUGAACAACUUGUGGAGGUUG
rnacentral:piRNA from 1 species